CAGCCGCCGCGGGAAUACAGAGGGUGCGAGCGUUAAUCGGAUUUACUGGGCGUAAAGCGUGCGUAGGCGGCUUUUUAAGUCGGAUGUGAAAUCCCUGAGCUUAACUUAGGAAUUGCAUUCGAUACUGGGAAGCUAGAGUAUGGGAGAGGAUGGUAGAAUUCCAGGUGUAGCGGUGAAAUGCGUAGAGAUCUGGAGGAAUACCGAUGGCGAAGGCAGCCAUCUGGCCUAAUACUGACGCUGAGGUACGAAAGCAUGGGGAGCAAACAGGAUUAGAUACCCGCGUAGUCCCUGUCUCUUAUAC
rnacentral:rRNA from 1 species